rnacentral:rRNA from 1 species
UACGGAGGGAGCUAGCGUUGUUCGGAAUUACUGGGCGUAAAGCGCACGUAGGCGGCUUUGUAAGUUAGAGGUGAAAGCCCGGAGCUCAACUCCGGAAUUGCCUUUAAGACUGCAUCGCUUGAAUCCAGGAGAGGUGAGUGGAAUUCCGAGUGUAGAGGUGAAAUUCGUAGAUAUUCGGAAGAACACCAGUGACGAAGGCGGCUCACUGGACUGGUAUUGACGCUGAGGUGCGAAAGCGUGGGGAGCAAACAGG